rnacentral:lncRNA from 1 species
GACGCCAAAAAUAAGUAUAAAGAUAGGGACAAAGUCGAGGCAAGAGUUGGACUCUUUGUCCUUAAGUCGAAUUUGCCCCGCAACGGUGCCUACGGAUUUCGGCAAUCGACUCCCAAGAUACAACGGCUACACUUGUGUUUGUAGCACUCCAAAACACAAGUACAACGAACCAAAUUUAGGUUUAUGUACUCCAAUGAUGAAA